UCUUAAAGAGCAUCCCCCCCUGAUUAGACGCCUUUAUGAUCACGUCUAAUCAGCAGAUAUUUGAAGACUACGCGAAGACCUCACGAAAACAACUAAGAGUUCUACUAUUUAUUCAGAAAUUAAACAUCACAGAUUAUUAUCCUCAUCAUCAUCAUUUUUUGAGAACCCGAAUAUUCAAUUUUUAAGGGAAUGCAGAGUUCCAGCAAAACGGCAUAUUUUUUCUUUCUAAAAGAUACUUUUUAUCACUUGUUAAAGGUAUCCAAUUAAUUGAAGGAAGA